rnacentral:lncRNA from 1 species
CUGGAACCCACAGGUUAUCAGCAUGCUUAGCAGGAAAAAAAAAUGAAGUCUGACCCUACUUUUGAAAGCGAGCUGCACCAAUGCCUUCAUUCCUAUUUCCUGUAAGUCCCAAUUCUGUAUUAGUUCAUCACUUUAUUUAAUCCAAAAAAGGAACUCUGUGAUUAUUUUGAUAAUUAAGCACUCAGUCACCAAUCGUAGGUUAUUAUAUUAUUUAAAAGCCAUAGCUUACGUUAACACCAAGGAAUGCACUGACUUGUAAGUAUAGCAGUGAAGGGGAGAUUCUUCUGGCUUUGUAACUACUGCUCAAAAAUCUACAGUGUUCUCAGGCUGCAGCCCGAGUCUGUUUUGUCUGAAGAGAGACACAAAGGCUUGGAGGACGCUGGCAGCCACUGUCACAGCAGUAAGGGUACAUUUCAGCGACUGCAUCUCAGAGCGCAGUCGGGGUGCUUCGGGGUGCAGGAUUCGGUUCUCUAGCUUAAAGACUUCACGGAAUACCCAAGUGAUGGCUCAGCAACUCCAGCACCCACCGAAAUUUCAGCCAGGAAAAAAAAUAUAAAAUCACAAUUAGUCAGAUUCACCUGAAGCUAAUU